rnacentral:rRNA from 1 species
UGGUAUGUACUAGCCUGCCGAUUCCUCCUUCUUGUAGAACCGUAAUGCCAUUAAUUUGGUGUUGCGGGGAAACAGGACUGUUACUUUGAAAAAAUUAGAGUGUUUAAAGCAGGCUAGCGCCUGAAUACAUUAGCAUGGAAUAAUGAAAUAGGACGUUAAUCCUAUUUUGUUGGUUUCUAGGAUCGACGUAAUGAUUAAUAGGGAUAGUUGGGGGCAUUAGUAUUCAAUUGUCAGAGGUGAAAUUCUUGGAUUUAUUGAAGACUAACUACUGCGAAAGCAUUUGCCAAGGAUGUUUUCAUUAAUCAAGAGCGAAAGUUAGGGGAUCGAAAACAAUCAGAUACCGUCGUAGUCUUAACCAUAAACUAUGCCGACAGGGAUCGGAUGAUGUUA